rnacentral:rRNA from 1 species
CGGACGGGUGAGUAACGCGUGGGUAACCUGCCUCACACAGGGGGAUAACAGCGAGAAAUUGCUGCUAAAACCGCAUAAGCGCACAGUAACGCAUGUUGCGGUGUGAAAAACUCCGGUGGUGUGAGAUGGACCCGCGUCUGAUUAGCUGGUUGGUGAGGUAACGGCCCACCAAGGCGACGAUCAGUAGCCGACCUGAGAGGGUGACCGGCCACAUUGGGACUGAGACACGGCCCAAACUCCUACGGAAGGCAGCAG